GUGACUGAAACUGGGGUUGCUGUCAAACGAACACAUUUCCAAUUAAACGUAAAAAAAAUGACAAUAUGUAAACAAACGGUGGACCUCGAGCAACUCGUCUCGCCAGUCGCCACAGUGAAGGCAGCGCUACACUACUGACGCCAUCUGCUGGCCAAGAAAAGCAACUACACAUUCGUUGCUGUCAUUCAGAUGCAGUGACGUGUUCUCAACUGGUGGCUCGGGACCCAGAAGUGUACCAUUUUUGGAGGUAGUAAAAAAUGAAGUUUCAGCCAAGUCGUCGUCGAGAGACAUUUUGAAAGCAGCCCUGCUUUCCUGGUGAUGCCGCAGAGGACUGUCCCCCCCCCCCCAGCCGGCCAUCCGCCCCUGGAGACCGUGACCGCUUUGACGCAUCAGUGCGUGCCUGCUGACCGCGGACGUCAGGAGGGCUAUCGGGGCCGGGGGGUCUUCCAUCCUGGUAGACCGUGUCGGUCCAUAGAGGUGCCACAGGUGGAAUCACCUACCUGAGCCCAACAAGUUCCUGGCCUCGGUGCUGCGAAUCAACGUGAGCUCCACCAGUGGGGGCCACCCAAAGCUCUGUGGCCACCUGUGCCCCAUAUCAUUGUACACCACUCCUCAAUAAAACCUGUGAACAUGUUGAAUUCUCAUUGUUAUUCCUGUCAUGACAGAUGAACUUCCAUUUGCACUUUACAAAAUACUGCAUUCAUAUGAUAUAAACUAUACGACACACAGCAAGGUGGAAGUUAAUUCAAAUGAGUAGUGAUUAGAAAUGGUGGAAAUAAACCAAAGCAAACAGCAGAUGUUCGAGUGGAUAGAGUAGUCACUCCUCAUUUCAGCUGGGUGGUGGGGGGCACCAACCAGUCUUGCCACGGGUGGCCACUUCAUUUGGGACAUUGAAGGGGAGGUUAUAUGGCCACCUGAUCAGGGAUAUCGACAUGGAGGAUAGGUGGCCACUUCAUAAGGAACAUUGAAGGGGAGUUUAAUGGCCACCUGAUCAGGGAUAUCAACAUGGAGGAUAGGUGGCCACCUUGUGAGGGACAUUGGCGUGGCGGUUCAAUGGCCACUUCAUUAGGG